rnacentral:rRNA from 1 species
CGGUGAACCUGCUUCGGUGGGGGAUCAGUGGCGAACGGGUGAGUAACACGUGGGCAACCUGCCCCUGGCUCUGGGAUAACUCCAAGAAAUUGGGGCUAAUACCGGAUAUGACCGCUGACCGCAUGGUCUGGUGGUGGAAAGAUUUAUCGGCUGGGGAUGGGCCCGCGGCCUAUCAGCUUGUUGGUGGGGUAGUGGCCUACCAAGGCGACGACGGGUAGCCGGCCUGAGAGGGUGACCGGCCACACUGGGACUGAGACACGGCCCAGACUCCUACGGGAGGCAGCAGUGGGGAAUAUUGCGCAAUGGGCGAAAGCCUGACGCAGCGACGCCGCGUGGGGGAUGACGGCCUUCGGGUUGUAAACCUCUUUCAGCAGGGACGAAGCGCAAGUGACGGUACCUGCAGAAGAAGCACCGGCCAACUACGUGCCAGCAGCCGCGGUAAUACGUAGGGUGCAAGCGUUGUCCGGAAUUAUUGGGCGUAAAGAGCUCGUAGGCGGUUCGUCGCGUCGGCUGUGAAAACCUGAGGCUCAACCUCAGGCCUGCAGUCGAUACGGGCGGACUUGAGUUCGGCAGGGGAGACUGGAAUUCCUGGUGUAGCGGUGAAAUGCGCAGAUAUCAGGAGGAACACCGGUGGCGAAGGCGGGUCUCUGGGCCGAUACUGACGCUGAGGAGCGAAAGCGUGGGGAGCGAACAGGAUUAGAUACCCUGGUAGUCCACGCCGUAAACGUUGGGCGCUAGGUGUGGGGGCCAUUCCACGGUCUCCGUGCCGCAGCUAACGCAUUAAGCGCCCCGCCUGGGGAGUAC